rnacentral:misc_RNA from 1 species
UACCGAACCGCUGACACGAGUUGUUGCUGGUCUCCAAGUGGGGGCAUGUGCACGCUCUGUUUGUGCAUCCACUCACACCUGUGCACCUUCUGUAGUUCUGUGGCCUGGGGGACUCGUCCUCCUGCUGCGGUUCUGCAUCUUUACGCUCACGCCGUGAUAAAGUCCAAUGGAAUGCAUGCCGCGUUUAACGCAAUACAAUACAACUUUCAGCAACGGAUCUCUUGGCUCUCGCAUCGAUGAAGAACGCAGCGAAAUGCGAUAAGUAAUGUGAAUUGCAGAAUUCAGUGAAUCAUCGAAUCUUUGAACGCACCUUGCGCCCUUUGGCUAUUCCGAAGGGCAUGCCUGUUUGAGUAUCAUGAACAUCUCAACUCCUCACGGUUUGCCCGUGAUGAGCUUGGACUUUGGGGGUCUUGCCGGCCUGCAGGUCGGCUCCUCUCAAACGAAUCAGCUUGCCGGUGUUUGGCGGCAUCACAGGUGUGAUAACUAUCUGCGCUUGUGGUUUUCUGCCAGGUAACCUCCAGCAAUGGGGGUUCACUGGAGCUCACAAAUGUCUCUCCUCAGCGAGGACAGGUCUUUGAAUGUUUG